UACGUAGGGGGCAAGCGUUGUCCGGAAUCAUUGGGCGUAAAGCGCGCGUAGGCGGCCCGGUAAGUCCGCUGUAAAAGUCCAGGGCUCAACCCUGGAAAGCCGGUGGAAACUGUCGGGCUAGAGUCCGGAAGAGGCGAGUGGAAUUCCUGGUGUAGCGGUGGAAUGCGCAGAUAUCAGGAGGAACACCGAUGGCGAAGGCAGCUCGCUGGGACGGUACUGACGCUGAGGAGCGAAAGCGUGGGGAGCGAACAGG
rnacentral:rRNA from 1 species